AACGAACGCUGGCGGCAGGCUUAACACAUGCAAGUCGAACGGAUCCUUCGGGAUUAGUGGCUGACGAGUGAGUAACGCGUGGGAACGUACCCUUUGCUACGGAAUAACUCAGGGAAACUUGAGCUAAUACCGUAUGUGCCCUACGGGGGAAAGAUUUAUCGGCAAAGGAUCGGCCCGCGUUGGAUUAGCUAGUGGGUGGGGUACUGGCCUACCAAGGCUACGAUCCAUAGCUGGUCUGAGAGGAGGAUCAGCCACACUGGGACUGAGACACGGCCCCGACUCCUACGGGAGGCAGCAGUGGGGAAUAUUGGACAAUGGGCGCAAGCCUGAUCCAGCCAUGCCGCGUGAGUGAUGAAGGUCUUAGGAUUGUAAAGCUCUUUCACCGGUGAAGAUAAUGACGGUAGCCGGAGAAGAAGCCCCGGCUAACUUCGUG
rnacentral:rRNA from 1 species